rnacentral:rRNA from 1 species
GAUGAACGCUGGCGGCGUGCCUAAUACAUGCAAGUCGAGCGAACGGACGAGAAGCUUGCUUUUCUGAUGUUAGCGGCGGACGGGUGAGUAACACGUGGAUAACCUACCUAUAAGACUGGGAUAACUUCGGGAAACCGGAGCUAAUACCGGAUAAUAUUUUGAACCGCAUGGUUCAAAAGUGAAAGACGGUCUUGCUGUCACUUAUAGAUGGAUCCGCGCUGCGUUAGCUAGUUGGUAAGGUAACGGCUUACCAAGGCAACGAUGCAUAGCCGACCUGAGAGGGUGAUCGGCCACACUGGAACUGAGACACGGUCCAGACUCCUACGGGAGGCAGCAGUAGGGAAUCUUCCGCAAUGGGCGAAAGCCUGACGGAGCAACGCCGCGUGAGUGAUGAAGGUCUUCGGAUCGUAAAACUCUGUUAUUAGGGAAGAACAUAUGUGUAAGUAACUGUGCACAUCUUGACGGUACCUAAUCAGAAAGCCACGGCUAACUACGU